rnacentral:rRNA from 1 species
GACGAACGCUGGCGGCGUGCUUAACACAUGCAAGUCGAACGGUAAGCCUCUUCUUUUGGGAUCUGCUCCAAUCGGGAGCGUAAGACGAAGGCGACAGUACCCUGCCUUUGGCUUAAGUCUAAGUUAUGGAAGCUGAGGCCAAUUCCGCAUAGCUGCUCCCACUGCUGGUUGUGGGUUGGGUUGUUUCGGCGGUUGGGGAUGGCCUCGCGUCUUAUCAGCUUGUUGGUGGGGUAGUGCCUUACCAAGGCGUUGACGGGUAGCCGGCCUGAGAGGGUGACCGGCCACACUGGGACUGAGAUACGGCCCAGACUCCUACGGGAGGCAGCAGUGGGGAAUAUUGCACAAUGGGCGGAAGCCUGAUGCAGCGACGCCGCGUGCGGGAUGACGGCCUUCGGGUUGUAAACCGCUUUCGGCUGGGACGAAGCGUGAGUGACGGUAACGGGUAAAGAAGCACCGGCUAACUACGUG